CCCAAGACUGCAGCGCCCGGCGCCUGGUUGCUGUGGCGCCGCGGCUACCGCCCGCACCCGGUGGCUGCGAGCCUGGGUCGGAGGGGCUCGGCGUGCGGAGCGGGGAUCGGGGAUGCUCCAGUAAAGGCGCGACCUGGGGCGGUGGGAAGGGUGGUCUUCCUCGCAGAGUUGCGCCCGAGGACGGAAAGUUUUUGCAUGCAGCGCAUCCUUCCCUCGCGGGUCCCUGUCGCCCACGGUGAAGCUCCCCAGCGGGGAUCCCCGCCACUUAGUGGGGAGGGGCCGAGCAGCCCCCUCCCGAGACGGCCCCCCAAGCCAGGGAGGGAACCCUGCUGACCUGUUCUCCCAGCCACCACUCCCUCCACCCUUCUUCUCUCACACGGUGGACCUUGGGCCGUGGAUGAUGAUGCGGAUGCCUUGGGAGCUGAGACCAGUGGUUCUAAGAACAGAGAAUGAACACCUAACCCUCAUCAACUGCUUUGCCAUCGUGGGCUUCUUUCAUCACACAGAGACCUAGCAUGGGUAUGAUGGGGGCUGUGAGACCCAUCAUCACCAUGAGAAAAACUCAAAUCUUUCCCCCUUCAAUAUAGGAAAGCCAAAUUAUGUUAUUGGAUGAAAUGUGUUGGCGGGAUCAAAGAAAUUAAAAAUCACAAAUGCUGGA